AUUUGACUAACCAGGAAAGAUCAAAUUAAGGGAACCAAAUACACAUGAUGGUGACGUCACCUUGCCUUGUGGGGAAAGAAGAGCAGCACACUCAUCCUUUCUCUCCUCCUGCGGUUGGGCCCCACAUGACAAUGACAGCAUCUGGAUUACAGUCUUUGCCACAGACUACGGUAGGUACUGCUUCUGGUGGCUGUAAUGGAACUGGAAAGCCGCGUGUAAGGGCUCGUCGAGGCCAGGCCACUGAUCCUCAC